rnacentral:rRNA from 1 species
UACGGGGGGGGCAAGCGUUGUUCGGAAUUACUGGGCGUAAAGGGCUCGUAGGCGGCCAACUAAGUCAGACGUGAAAUCCCUCGGCUUAACCGGGGAACUGCGUCUGAUACUGGAUGGCUAGAGGUUGGGAGAGGGAUGCGGAAUUCUAGGUGUAGCGGUGAAAUGCGUAGAUAUCUGGAGGAACACCGGUGGCGAAGGCGGCAUCCUGGACCGGCAUUGACGCUGAGGCGCGAAAGCCAGGGGAGCAAACGGG